rnacentral:rRNA from 1 species
GUGCCASCWGCYGCGGUAAUACGGAGGGUGCAAGCGUUAUCCGGAUUUAUYSGKUUUAAAGGGUCCGUAGGCGGAUGCGUAAGUCAGUGGUGAAAUCUCACAGCUCAACUGUGAAACUGCCAUUGAUACUGUGUGUCUUGAGUGAGGUUGAAGUAGCUGGAAUAAGUAGUGUAGCGGUGAAAUGCAUAGAUAUUACUUAGAACACCAAUUGCGAAGGCAGGUUACUAGUCUCAACUGACGCUGACGGACGAAAGCGUGGGGAGCGAACAGGAUUAGAUACCCUGGUAGUCCACGCUGUAAACGAUGCUAACUCGUUUUUGGGGAUUUAUCUUCAGAGACUAAGCGAAAGUGAUAAGUUAGCCACCUGGGGGGUACGAACGCAAGUUUGAAACUCAAAGGAAUUGACGGGGGCCCGCACAAGCGGUGGAUUACGUGGUUUAGUUCGAUGAUACGCGAGGAACCUUAACCAAGGCUUAAAUGGGAAUUGAWCGGUUUAGAAAUAGACCUUCCUUCGGGCAUUUUCAAGGUGCUUGCAUGGUUGUCGUCAGCUCGYGCCKUGAKGUGUWAGGUUWAWGUCCUGCAACGAGCGCAACCCCUGUC